UAAAAAAGCAUUGAAGCUUAAUAUAAAAACUUAUAUAGAACUUAGAGUGAGGCUGCUAUGCUAUCGGAAGCACGAAGUCUUUCGUGCUUUCAGCUUGUUUUCGAUAUUGCGAUUUUUGAAUUAUCGAUCGGCUCCGUUAAACUUGAUCUAGAGUAUUUGAAGUACCUAGAAAAUAAAUUUUAUGAUUUUACGAUAUCAUUUGCCUAGUGAACGAAGGAGCUCAAAAUCAACGGCUGAAAAUAAAAAUCUUACAAAAUGUAAUAAUAUGACAUUGAAAUUUUAAAUCAAAGAUAUUGAUCUUGUUUUAUNUUUCUGAUUUUUUCGAAAUCUUGAAUUCUUUGAUCUUUGUCAAUUCGCUUCGAUUCUUCAAGACUCCAACUCACUUCACGAAACUUGCCAAUACAAAAUCCUUAACA
rnacentral:lncRNA from 1 species